AAAUUGAAGAGUUUGAUCAUGGCUCAGAUUGAACGCUGGCGGCAGGCCUAACACAUGCAAGUCGAGCGGUAGCACAGAGAGCUUGCGCUCGGGUGACGAGCGGCGGACGGGUGAGUAAUGUCUGGGAAACUGCCUGAUGGAGGGGGAUAACUACUGGAAACGGUAGCUAUUACCGCAUAAUGUCGCAAGACCAAAGUGGGGGACCUUCGGGCCGCAUG
rnacentral:rRNA from 1 species